rnacentral:rRNA from 1 species
AGAACGAACGCUGGCGGCAGGCUUAACACAUGCAAGUCGAACGCCCCGCAAGGGGAGUGGCAGACGGGUGAGUAACGCGUGGGAACGUGCCCUUCGCUUCGGAAUAGUCCCGGGAAACUGGGUUUAAUACCGAAUACGCCGUAUUGGGAAAGAUUUAUCGGCGAAGGAUCGGCCCGCGUUAGAUUAGGUAGUUGGCGGUGUAAUGGACCACCAAGCCUACGAUCUAUAGCUGGUCUGAGAGGAUGAUCAGCCACACUGGGACUGAGACACGGCCCAGACUCCUACGGGAGGCAGCAGUGGGGAAUCUUGGACAAUGGGCGCAAGCCUGAUCCAGCCAUGCCGCGUGAGUGAAGAAGGCCUUAGGGUUGUAAAACUCUUUCGCCGGUGAAGAUAAUGACGGUAACCGGAGAAGAAGCCCCGGCUAACUUCGCGCCAGCAGCCGC